GAGAGGGGCACGAUUGCACCGGGGACUGCUAAUCUCCGCCACUUUGGUUAAACUCCAGGGCCCACUCG
rnacentral:tRNA from 1 species